GGCGAAAUUCCUCAGCUGGCGAGACGGUUUGCAGCCGGGAAGAGCAGAACUCCCCUGGAAAGCCUGUGGUUUAAGCCUGAAGAAUUGGUCAACUACAAGUCUUGUGCUUUUGACUGGAUCUAUGAAUAAGAGGUGGACAAAGCAUCAGUCCCCUUGGCUCCACUUGAUGUGUCCCGGGACACAACUCUUCAUUCCAUUGACCUGGAAGCGAAAGGAUCCAUCUUUUCUAAAGCAUAUUUACCAAUAAAGCCUUUGGGAACGGG